rnacentral:rRNA from 1 species
GACGAACGCUGUGCGGCGUGCUUAACACAUGCAAGUCGAACGGAAAGGCCCUGCUUUUGUGGGGUGCUCGAGUGGCGAACGGGUGAGUAACACGUGAGUAACCUGCCCUUGACUUUGGGAUAACUUCAGGAAACUGGGGCUAAUACCGGAUAGGAGCUCCUGCUGCAUGGUGGGGGUUGGAAAGUUUCGGCGGUUGGGGAUGGACUCGCGGCUUAUCAGCUUGUUGGUGGGGUAGUGGCUUACCAAGGCUUUGACGGGUAGCCGGCCUGAGAGGGUGACCGGCCACAUUGGGACUGAGAUACGGCCCAGACUCCUACGGGAGGCAGCAGUGGGGAAUAUUGCACAAUGGGCGGAAGCCUGAUGCAACAACGCCGCGUGCGGGAUGACGGCCUUCGGGUUGUAAACCGCUUUCGCCUGUGACGAAGCGUGAGUGACGGUAAUGGGUAAAGAAGCACCGGCUAACUACGUGCCACCAGCCGCGGUGAUACGUAGGGUGCGAGCGUUGUCCGGAUUUAUUGGGCGUAAAGGGCUCGUAGGUGGUUGAUCGCGUCGGAAGUGUAAUCUUGGGGCUUAACCCUGAGCGUGCUUUCGAUACGGGUUGACUUGAGGAAGGUAGGGGAGAAUGGAAUUCCUGGUGGAGCGGUGGAAUGCGCAGAUAUCAGGAGGGACACCAGUGGCGAAGGCGGUUCUCUGGGCCUUUCCUGACGCUGAGGAGCGAAAGCGUGGGGAGCGAACAGGCUUAGAUACCCUGGUAGUCCACGCUGUAAACGGUGGGUACUAGGUGUGGGGUCCAUUCCACGGGUUCCGUGCCGUAGCUAACGCUUUAAGUACCCCGCCUGGGGAGUACGGCCGCAAGGCUAAAACUCAAAGGAAUUGACGGGGCCCCGCACAAGCGGCGGAGCAUGCGGAUUAAUUCGAUGCAACGCGUAGAACCUUACCUGGGUUUGACAUGGAUCGGGAGUGCUCAGAGAUGGGUGUGCCUCUUUUGGGGUCGGUUCACAGGUGGUGCAUGCCUGUCGUCAGCUCGUGUCGUGAGAUGUUGGGUUAAGUCCCGCAACGAGCGCAACCCUUGUUCACUGUUGCCAGCACGUUAUGGUGGGGACUCAGUGGAGACCGCCGGGGUCAACUCGGAGGAAGGUGGGGAUGACGUCAAGUCCUCAUGCCCCUUAUGUCCAGGGCUUCACGCAUGCUACAAUGGCUGGUACAGAGAGUGGCGAGCCUGUGAGGGUGAGCGAAUCUCGGAAAGCCGGUCUCAGUUCGGAUUGGGGUCUGCAACUCGACCUCAUGAAGUCGGAGUCGCUAGUAAUCGCAAAUCAGCAACGCUGCGGUGAAUCCGUUCCCGGG